rnacentral:pre_miRNA from 15 species
CGGAGUGCGUGUCUUCAAUUCCGUAGUGCAUUGCAGUGUUUGUAGCAGCAGUCUGCAAGCAGUGCGGAAGUGAGGAUUCGUCUCUGCUAUCCUU